rnacentral:miRNA from 1 species
UAACAGGCUGGAGAGGUGCAGA